CUGCUUGAUAUGUGUGAGAAACAGAAGCUGAUGGAAAGAGACAGAAAAAAAGAUGCACAAGUAAAGGUCAUCAGAAACUCCACUGCAGCGUUGACUUUGCCAGAGGAGAACAGAUGAGGUGUUUGUCACCUGCAGUAGUAUUUUUAGUUUGGAAAAAAACAGCAUUUAGUACUGGUCAAGGGGGUCCUGUUAGAUCUGUAGCUAAAGAGCUGCAAAGAGCUCCAGUUCCUAUUGCUGGAGCUCUUUGCAAGACAGCCUUGUCUUUUUCUCGAGACUUGUUAAUUCUGAGUGUUCCUUGGUCACUGAAAGUGAGUGCCAUUUCAAACAUUAGGCAUGGAAAAGCUAAGCUGUAAUAUAUACUAUACAUAUAUGCACUAUUUUAGGGUAUAUACAUGCACUAUAUAUACAAUUUAAACUGUGUAUUUUUUUUUACCAAAGCCAUUUUGUAAAGCCUUAAACGUUGGAAAUGUAAGGAAUUUAAAAGGUAUUUGGGGGGUCUAGAAGGUACUGUUGGAAAGAGUAUUGCUUGAUGGUUCAUUAAUUCACUUUUUCCUCGAUAUAAUGUUACUGGUGAUCUUUUAUUUCUGCAUUUGUGUAUUUAAGCAUGAAUGUUCUUGUGCAUUUAUGGUGUAUCAGGUACACAGUUAGAGAUUCUGUGUAAUCUGAACUGCAUACAUACAUUGUUAACAAAACCAUACUGCUUUCUGCUGCUGGAUCAUAAGUAGGUGAUAAUAUUUGGACACUCUUCACUACUAAAGUUAGAUCAAUACUAAUGAAUCAAUACUAUAAAGGCAAAAGUAGCGGGUUUGUUUGUUUUCACUUGUUUUGUUUUUCAAAACUUAUUUCUAUAACUUAAAAGCGAGAAAUUACUCCUAUUUUCCUCUGCUGUCUUGUAAUUUGCAUGAUUUCUCAAUAUUCUAUAAAUAAUUUAUUUGAUUUGGGAGCUAAAUGAUUCUACCCUCCCAGCUUUUAGGGAAUAUCUAUAAAGUUAUUUUGCAGAAAUCUUUAUUUAGAAUUUUCAGUGACCACUGCAGAUGUAUAAAAGUGCAAGUACUCAAUAGUGGAACUUCCCAAGAAAGAGAAUAUGUCACUAUAAUACUGAGAGGCCUCUCCUGGAAACUCUCCAAGAAAGAACUUCUACCAUU